UAAUAUCGUUUGCUGAAGUGGCAAUCUUUAGCUGUAAAUUGUUUUGCGUAAUUUACAGGAUAAAGUAAAUAAGGCGGACUAGUUUAAAAAAGUGUAUCGUUGUGAGAUCUUAACAUGUGGCACUUCAUUCCACCUCUCGCUUCCGGGAUUCAGGUAUUUAUCGCAGAGGGCAAGCAGCUUUUGUAUCUCUUCGUCGAAGGAGAUCAUUGUAUUCCUACGCUAGUCUUUCGUAAGUCGAAACUUUCAGUUUAUUUUUCGCCAUUUGAGAAACUCAGCGGCAGUCCAGCAAAAAAAGUUUUAUUGCUCAGGAACCUAUGGUACUUGAUCUGAAAUCUCGUCUGAUCUCAAAUACAAAUUAUACGCCGAACCAUGGUCGACCACUCCUCAUAAAACUUUUCAGGGGUUCAGUAGGUAGGAAGUAUCAUCGUGAACUAAAACAAGAGUGCGACAGUCGCGAGGGACCGUCAGGGAUUUUCUGGGAGAAAUUCGUGCUUCCAGGAAGAUAACAUUUUUAAAUGCUCGCGAAAGCAUCGAUCUAUCAUCCUGCUCCAUCGAUUAUUCUUCAUGACGCAUCAAAUGAUGCCCCAUCAUCCAAGACUCCGCAGUGUCGUCGUCUCCUUUCGUCGCGCGGGUACGCUUUGAAAGCGCCGACAAGGAGCAACAUUUACGAGACAUUCUCGUGCGUCAGCAAGAGAGAAAGAGAGAGAAAAAAGAGAGAGUAACGGGGAGUAAAAAAUCGAGAAAAUUCUCUAUCGCGUUCGCGUACGCGAUCGGAGUGGCACUCGCGCUCACGCGUGUUCUCGCCCUCACGCGUGAAUGCUUCGUGGCGAGUGGCGUGCGAUGCGUGUGUGCACAUGCCGAUCGCGCUGCGUGCCUGCAUGAAUGCUCGCUCGAGCAUUAGCGGCGCGUAUAAGCGCGCAACGAGUGUAAGUAGGCCACGGUGCUUUCACACGAUAAGACCUUAUCAGAGGCGUACGCGUACGCCUUUGGCUCGUAUCGUGCGUGCCUCCCUCCCCCGUUCCUUGCCGCCCCGUGAAACUCUAACUGCCUCUUCACGAUCUCGUCAGCCCUCUUCCGACAGCUCUUUCCCCCGCGCGCUCUCCUUUUUCAUCCAGGAAUUCUCCUGAGCGCUCCUCUCGGCUGGCAGUAUCAGGAGAUUAUCCAUUUGCUGGCGUACAUGCAGUGGGGUAUAUCAGAUAUUUUUCUCGGCGCGUGUGCGGCAAUCCUCGUUAUCUGUAAAAUUCUCGCGACGAAAUUAGCGUUUCCGCGAUUUCCGAUAGAAGAAGUGGUUGAGGGAUGCUUCGCGACGUUUGCAUGUUUCUCGGGAAUAAGAGAAACUGUAGUUUAUUAAUUUAUCAAAUUUAUUAUCUUGUUACAUUUAUAGAUGUAUGUUUUACUAGAUUAUAUUGCAAAAUCUGUA